UACGGGGGGGGCAAGCGUUGUUCGGAAUUACUGGGCGUAAAGGGCUCGUAGGCGGCCAACUAAGUCCGACGUGAAAUCCCCAGGCUUAACCUGGGAACUGCGUCGGAUACUGGAUGGCUUGAAUCCGGGAGAGGGAUGGCGGAAUUCCAGGUGUAGCGGUGAAAUGCGUAGAUAUCUGGAGGAACACCGGUGGCGAAGGCGGCAUCCUGGACCGGGCAUUGACGCUGAGGAGCGAAAGCCAGGGGAGCAAACGGGG
rnacentral:rRNA from 1 species